UACCCCCAUCUCUACUCCCAGGUUCCACCUCUUGCAGAUUGAUAACCACCAACCACGGUUGUCCUUAACACUUUCCAAUUUCUUAGCAGGAUUAUGAGAAAGAUGGCCGGUUUGGUAUCCUCCCAACCCGAAGUGACAACCCCCAUGAAUGAGAAAGAGGGAGGGAAGACCAAAGAGAUAUCAGAGAAGACCGAGAGAAUGCCAUCACAGAAAGUUUUUGAAGAAAGUGGACUGUACUCUUACUCCUUUUUUGGAGCCAAAUGAAAGCAAUCAUUCACACUAUGCCACUCAAAGGAGCAGAGUGCAUGAAAACAAUAUCUGCUAUCCAAUGGCCAGCCUAAGAAAAGAACAAACAGAAUCCCUUAUGUUUGGCUGCAUUUGGCAUUCAGUUGGUGCUGGAGGUUGAAGCUGAGCAGAAGAAAUGCUAACGCUGGAACAGAAGAACAGAAGAAGGCACAACUGCUUUAAAUGCCAUGGUGCAUGCCUUGCUUAUGAUGCUCUACAAUAAAACAUUGCCAGAUUGUCA
rnacentral:lncRNA from 1 species